CUGAGGGUCUUGAUGUUCUUGGACCAAGUUGAGAGCUAGGAGGUCUAUCUGCGGAGGGGUCAGGCCAUCCCGUGGUUGCUCCCAGCCUCUUCCAGGUCCCCUCCGGGAUGUCUAGCUCUGUUCCUGGCGACUCCUCCAGGGCUCCGCGUUCAGAAGCAGCGGUCGUGCAGAUUGGCUUGAGUCUGAGGUGUCCAGGGCUCCUGGGCCAGAUCCUGGUAAAUGGAGUGGCUCUGCUGACCUUCCCCAAAGAGAAGCCAGAGUGUACCCCCUCCUGGCAACUCUGGGUAGCAGCUGGAUCUGAGCAGUCAAGACCUUGGUCUGAGGAUAACCACCAAGCAAGUAGCUUAGUAUGAGGGUCAUGGGAGAGCUAUUGGUUUGUGGUUUGCUGUUCUGGGAACACCUGAGCUGGGGCCACCUGAAUCCUUCAGCUGCUCAGCCUCGCCUUCUAUGUAUUGGGUGCUUCUAGAGGUGCUGUCUCCUACUACCCAGCACAGUCCCAACCUUUCCUUUAUCCCUAUCGACAAAGGAUGUAUAUCCUAGAGGGCAGAGGCAUUGUGCCUGAGACUUGUGGAACACACACCCCUCCCACACUGAUGGCACAGCCAGGUCAUCAAUCCUGGGGCCUCAGGAAGGGGCCUAGCUUGACCAAGCUGCAAAGCCAAGAUGGUCUCCAUGUGUCUGAGCUCUGAAUCAUGUGUCCCAGCUCAGAACUCUGAGAAAUGCAAGGCCAAGAUCCUGGGCAUCCCACCCACCCCACCACCCUGUGGAGGAAGGAGCCAGC